rnacentral:rRNA from 1 species
AGCGAACGCUGGCGGCAGGCCUAACACAUGCAAGUCGAGCGGCCGUAGCAAUACGGCAGCGGCAGACGGGAGAGUAACACGUGGGAACGUGCCCUUCAGUUCGGAACAACCCAGGGAAACUUGGGCUAAUACCGGAUACGCCCUUACGGGGAAAGAUUUAUCGCUGAAGGAGCGGCCCGCGUCUGAUUAGCUAGUUGGUGGGGUAACGGCCCACCAAGGCGACGAUCAGUAGCUGGUCUGAGAGGAUGAUCAGCCUCACUGGGACUGAGACACGGCCCAGACUCCUACGGGAGGCAGCAGUGGGGAAUAUUGGACAAUGGGCGCAAGCCUGAUCCAGCCAUGCCGCGUGGGUGAUGAAGGCCCUAGGGUUGUAAAGCCCUUUCGGCGGGGAAGAUAAUGACGGUACCCGCAGAAGAAGCCCCGGCUAACUUCGUGCCAGCCGCCGCCGUAAUAC